GUACACUCCUGCGGGAGGCAGCAGUGGGGAAUAUUGGACAAUGGGCGCAAGCCUGAUCCAGCCAUGCCGCGUGAGUGAUGAAGGCCCUAGGGUUGUAAAGCUCUUUCACCGGUGAAGAUAAUGACGGUAACCGGAGAAGAAGCCCCGGCGAACUUCGUGCCAGCAGCCGCGGUAAUACGAAGGGGGCUAGCGUUGUUCGGAUUUACUGGGCGUAAAGCGCACGUAGGCGGACUAUUAAGUCAGGGGUGAAAUCCCGGGGCUCAACCCCGGAACUGCCUUUGAUACUGGUAGUCUUGAGUUCGAGAGAGGUGAGUGGAAUUCCGAGUGUAGAGGUGAAAUUCGUAGAUAUUCGGAGGAACACCAGUGGCGAAGGCGGCUCACUGGCUCGAUACUGACGCUGAGGUGCGAAAGCGUGGGGAGCAAACAGGAUUAGAUACCCCAGUAGUCCCAUG
rnacentral:rRNA from 1 species